CUUAUUCUUUACUUUACUAGAAGUAAUAGCUUGUCCUAUACCUUUCCAGGUGUAAUAACUUGCCCUGUACGUUUCCAGGUUUAUAAUAGUAAGAAUAUUACUUUUCAUGCUCGCAUUUUCCAUGUUGUAUGUGUGUGUGUGUGUGUGUGUGUGUGUG